AUUGAACGCUGGCGGCAGGCCUAACACAUGCAAGUCGAGCGAGCGGCGGACGGGUGAGUAAUGUCUGGGAAACUGCCUGAUGGAGGGGGAUAACUACUGGAAACGGUAGCUAAUACCGCAUCCCAUCAGAUGUGCCCAGAUGGGAUGAGAUAGUAGGUGGGGUCACGGCUCACCUAGGCGACGAUCCCGAGCGGGUAUGAGAGGAUGACCAGCCAAACUGGAACUGAAACACGGGCCAGACGCCUACGGGAGGCAGCAGGGGGGAAUAGUGAACAAGGGGCGCAAGCCUGAUGCGUCCAUGCCGAGUGUGUGAAUAAGGCCUUCGGGUUGUAAAGCACUUUCAGCGGGGAGGCGUUACCCGCAGAAGAAGCACCGGCUAACUCCGUGCCAGCAGCCGCGGUAAUAC
rnacentral:rRNA from 1 species